GACGAACGCUGGCGGCGUGCUUAACACAUGCAAGUCGAACGGAGAGGCCUGCUUUCCCUUGUGGAUUGCGGGUACUCGAGUGGCGAACGGGUGAGUAACACGUGAGUGAUCUGCCCCCAACUUGGGUAUAAGCCUGGGAAACUGGGUCUAAUUCCCGAUAGGACUGCAGGGUGGUGCCUGUGGUGGAAAACGAUUUUCUAGUGGUUGGGGAUGAGCUCGCGGCCUAUCAGCUUGUUGGUGGGGUAAUGGCCUACCAAGGCGGCGACGGGUAGCCGGCCUGGGAGGGUGGACGGCCACAUUGAGACUGGGAUACGGCCCAGACUCGUACGGGAGGCAGCAGUGGGGAAGAAUUCACAAUGGGCGGAAGCCUGAUGCGGCGACUCCGCGUGGGGGAUGACGGCCUUCGGGUUGUAAACUCCUUUCGACCGCGAGGAAGCCACCUGGUUGGAAGGGUGGUGACGGUAGUGGUAGAAGAAGCACCGGCUAACUACGUG
rnacentral:rRNA from 1 species